GAUUAUGCCUCAUAAAGUUAGUACCUGCUAUUACAGGUACUUAAUAUGCCAUAAGUUUGGCACAUGAAUGAGUAUGCAGAUGCGUCCACUGAGAACAACAACAGUAAGCAGGAAUAAGCAUGAUGGGACAAGCUAAGCUCUUCUCCUGUUCUCCCUGGAGUCCAAAGCCUACCAGGUAAUGCAGAAGCCAGAGUUACCAUUGUUUACACUACAGGAAGCAGUCAGAUGGGACACUGUUUAGAAGCCGCUUGAGUGAAGGAUCAUCAGGACCUCCAGAUCCUCCUAGUUCACAGUUGGGCCUGCAGAAGAAAUGAUGAAAGGCUGGAGCAAAACGUCAGGUCCAAUUUCAGGGACAGAUCCUGUCUUCAUUUGCAGCUGCAUAACACCACUAAAGAACUGGGUGGCAUAAGUGGAACUGACAGCAGACUGGACUUGUAGGAUUGACUUCACUUCUGGUGACAGAGGAAUCAGAAAGAACUAAGCGUCUCAAGAAAACAAGGUGUAUUAAAAGCUCCACAAAAGUGCCUAAUUAUACGGAUAUUGGGAGAGCUGGGUCCAAUUAAUGUCAUAUGUUUUCUGGGCAUCUGCUGGGCUUGGUGCAGGAAAUCAUCAAGUUUAAAGUAAAGCACCAUUUUUUUUUAAUUAUCUGC
rnacentral:lncRNA from 1 species